GAUGAACGCUGGCGGCGUGCCUAAUACAUGCAAGUCGAGCGAACGGACGAGAAGCUUGCUUCUCUGAUGUUAGCGGCGGACGGGUGAGAAACACGUGGAUAACCUACCUAUAAGACUGGGAUAACUUCGGGAAACCGGAGCUAAUACCGGAUAAUAUUUUGAACCGCAUGGUUCAAAAGUGAAAGACGGUCUUGCUGUCACUUAUAGAUGGAUCCGCGCUGCAUUAGCUAGUUGGUAAGGUAACGGCUUACCAAGGCAACGAUGCAUAGCCGACCUGAGAGGGUGAUCGGCCACACUGGAACUGAGACACGGUCCAGACUCCUACGGGAGGCAGCAGUAGGGAAUCUUACGCAAUGGGCGAAAGCCUGACGGAGCAACGCCGCGUGAGUGAUGAAGGUCUUCGGAUCGUAAAACUCUGUUAUUAGGGAAGAACAUAUGUGUAAGUAACUGUGCACAUCUUGACGGUACCUAAUCAGAAAGCCACGGCUAACUACGUG
rnacentral:rRNA from 1 species